ACCUGGCUGGCUCAGUCAGUAGAGCAUGUGACUCCUGAUCUCAGGGUUGUGGGUUCAAGCCCCACAUUGGGUG